GGAUUGUCUUCACACAACGCCAGCCGUUCUUUAAUGUUCCUAUCUACAAUGACAGAAACUCGAAUCCGCUAAGGCUGUGCCGUGGUCAAGACUGUAGAGAAACCCUCCUGCGUGAAAACCUCUGCUGACCAGCCGGUCCCCAUCUUCAACAGAUCACUGGAGCUGAGUGAAGUCCCCUCCUGCAUUAAAUGCUCAACUAUCACCCCGGUCCCCAAGAAACCCCCUACAUUGCAAUCAUCCAGUCUGUUCUCAGCACAUCCAUCACCGUCAGGUUUGGAUCAGCCACCAAAAAGGGCAGAAACAGACUACAGCGGACAGUCAGCACUACAGAAAAAAAAUCAUAGGUGCUAACCUGCCCUCCAUUCAGGACUUAUACAGGAAACGAGCAGUUUUAUACUACUAAUGUAGCAUGUCAUAGACUUACAUACACUUAAAUAAGUACUUUCCCUUCUUUCGUUCGCUCAGUUGUUGCUGACAAGUGAGUUUGAGACAGAAUCACAUAUUAGAGCAAAGGUAGUAUCACAUUUAUUCACUGGUCAGUACUCUCUAGUUGCUAUGAAGUACAGCAUCAAUGUCCAGUUAACUGCACUAUAACAAAGCUGGGACGCAGCAUGAAUUGUUUCCUAUUAAUCUGUUAUUUUCUUUAUCAAUACAGUACAAGAGAAAGUGUUAAUACUGUUGUUAAUAAACCAAUCAAAUACUGUAUGUAACUAUUACCACAAUGCUUGAGUUAUUUUGUGACUAAUGGCUCCUCUACUUCCUCUUAAGUUAGUGAGUGAAUUUCUUCUUUUCACAGGAUGCCUUUAGACAAAGUCCAGAAGGAGGAUGUGAGCUUGCACAAUUCAGCUGUCCGUUGCUUUCGGGUUCUGUGGAUUGACUGAUCUCUGUAUGAUGUUAAAUGUUGGUGCAAUAAUUCCGACGGACUGACACCAAAAUCUGUGACCGCUGACGUUUUCCAAGAGAAACAGAAGAAUACAAUAAACUGAAUGAAGCAAGAACUGCAACGUACUU